UGCUUUCACUUCAUGAAAGUCACUGAUUUGGACAGGAUUUGGAUAGGUUUGGACGAUAGAUUUUUGAUUAGUUCUCCAAUAUGAGUAUUAAUUUUAUUUAUUUAUUUAUUUUUUACUUAUCUAAAACAUUUGAUUUAAUUUUUAACAAAAAGAAUUAUUUUAACCAAAAUUCUGUUGUUUUUAAGUGAUAUUUUAUUCAUUAAAAUUAUUAUUAUUAUUAUUAUUUAAAGGGGACCUAUUAUGCCCCAUUUUAUAAGAUGUAAAAUAAGUCUCUGUUGUCCCCAGAGUGUGUAUGUUAAGUUUUAGCUCAAAAUACCCCACAGAUAAUUUUUUAUAACAUGUUAAAAUUUACACUUUUUGGGGUUGAGCAAAAACGUGCUGUUACAGUGUGUGCCCUUUAAAUGCAAAUGAGCUGCUGUGCUCGGCCUAAGAGGGCGGAGCUACACGAGCUGAUUCUCCGGUGACAGGAUUCAGUCAGGACGCACUAUAAUGUCAGAAAUUGCGAAUGUAUGCUGCAUGGAGAUAGAACAGGUAUAGUUUAGUUUAAUUACGGUUAUAACUUAUAUUGUCUUCUUGUUUUUAUCCACUAUAUUACUACAAGCCUGUUGUACCGUCCGAAUGAUGUCCAAAACUUUACAGAUGAGUUUAAUGUUUAUUGUACUUCACACAAAAGAUGAAGCGUCUGUUUUCACAGUAUCACAAUAUUAUCCCUAAACUCUCUCUUUCCCUUGUAUUAUCAUCAACAUACGUAGCGAAGUACACAGAAACCCUCGUUACAACUAACAGUAAACAAAUACAUAAAGACCUUAUGCCUUUUUAGGGUGGUGUUUAAUAAACUGGUAAACUUUAUAUCCGUAAAUCAACACCGAUGAACUGUAAUAAAGUGCUCUCACCUUCAUUACUGCCGUAUCCAGUAUCACUCUGAAGACUGUAAGCUGGAUCACGAACAGUUUGUACUUCUAUAUCCUUGAGUAGCACAUUUUUAGCACAACCUCUGUUUUGUAUUGUCCCUUUGUAUUGACAUUCGUUCACAAAGCAGUCCGGUGUGAAAUAAUUCACGCAGACAUAAACGAAUUUUGGUAGAAUUGGGGGAGCAUUUUCUUUGAAAACAAAAUUAAUCCAACUCGUCCUCAGCGGCUCAGAUUUCAGGGGUAAAUGGAGAGAGCUAUGUGGAUUAAUCCAUCCAGCUACAGAACACCUAAAACGCUUGGGAGACGUUCUCGUCAGUGCAGCAAUAACGGACUGUACAACUGGCUGUGAACUCGCUCAGGGCGGUUCUAUGUUAAAACGGCAGUGUCUGUCAACAUUCGUGGGCGGGGCCUGUGGCUAAUGUGACGUCACACUGCAAGGGAUCUGGAAGCGGCUUGUUCUGAGACACUGUUUAUGAUUUAUGGGGAUUAAAAAAAAAUGAGUGGUUGUGUACACACACUGCCAACACACAUUUAUGUCCAAACACCAUGCAAAAGUGAAUUUUGCAUAAUAGGUCCCCUUUAUUAAAAAUAUGAAUUAAAUUAUUAUACUUUCUUGGUUGUAUUUUAAUUUGGAGGUUGUAAAUAAAAAUGUACAAUAUUAUUAUUACUAUUAAUUUUAAUUUAAUUUUUGAUAAACUUGGCAAUAAAAUUAACUUAAAUUUGGUUAUAAAAUGCAUAUUUUAUAUGUAAAUAUUUUUAUUAAACAAUUGUAUUAUUAAAUAUAUGAAUUACAUUAUUAUACUUUAAUAUUAUAUUAAAAUUGUGGGCUGUAAAUAAUAAUUAUAAUACAAAUAAUAUGUAUUAUUGCCGUUAUCAAUAAAAAAUAAUCUUUGUGAUUAUAAACAAUUCUCUUUUUUUCUUUCUCUUUUUUUUUUUUUAUAACAGCCCUAAAGUGAAAAUACCUACAACACAAAAAAAGCAGAAGUUUUGAGCAGAACAGAGGUUCUGUGGUUCACUUAUUUAGGCUAGAGCACUUACUGGUAGUGCAAACCAUAAUAAACAGGUAACGCCUUCAUUCAUUAUGAAUGAACAUGUUAGACGUGAAGGAACCAGCAGAGUAAAUCAGACACUGCAUGCAGUGAUACAAUGGUCUCUUUACUGGCUCUUUACUACCUGAUUCUUACUGUCUUCAGCUUCACGAUGUGUGGACGUGAGGGUAAGCAACUAAUAUUUUUAGUAAUUCUUUAUGAAAGGAAAUUUAGGUUGCUUUAAUGUGACCAAACUUUUGAAAACAAAAGUUCUGGUUAGAACCUAAAAAAGUUUUACAUUCUGAUUCUAUUAGAUUAAACUUUUAGCUUCACUUUUACUUCAUUGUUGGAUUAUUGAACCAAUAAGCUUCUGAAGAACCAAUAGUGUGCAAGUUUCCAUUUAAUUCGUCAAAUAUGAUGGUUGAAUACAUUUUGGUGUAUAUUGGUGUUUUGAGCAUAUACAGUUCAAUGUAUAAUUUGUUUAAUUUAAAAAAAAAAAAACUGUCAUGACCUUAUCUUAGAGAUUUAAAAUUUGUUAUCCUAACUCCAGAAUGUGUACCAGUAUGUCUGUUUGCUGUAGAAUGCAGAUUUCUAUUGAAGCGCUUUUGAUGUUUAUUCUUUACUUUGUUUAUUAAAUUACAGUUGAGCUGAAUUACCUUUUAAUUUCACUUUACAGGUGUUUUGGUUUUCAGAGCAGUUGAAGGAGCGACUGUCCAUCUGCCCUGCCACUCUCCACCUGAUAACAGUGAACAAGUUACUGGAAAGUGGACAAAAAAUAGUGCAACUAACAAAACUAUCUGUGAAUGGAAUUUUAAUAAAAUUACUGGAUCUUCCUCCGGUGAUUGCAUUCCUCACUUUACAUUCAACAGAACGUCUUUUACACUAAGUAUAGAAAAUGUUCAGCCCAGUGACUCUGGUAAUUACAGCUGUAAAACAGCAAGAUUAAUUCCACCACCGACAUUGGACAACAUCUCAAAUGUGAUACUCCAAGUUGAAGGUCUGUCCCUGCAGCUCCUGAACAGCAGUAAUGACACCUGUAUUCAUCUGCUUUGCUCUCUGAAGAGUCUGAACCCUGAGCUGGUGGACUUCACCUGGAGCCGAGAGGGUCAAAGUUUACUUCAUCCAUCCACAUCUUAUGACAUGAAGAGUGAGCUGCAUCUGUGUAAACCUGACUGGAGUGAUGGAGACACAAUCACCUGCCACGCCAGCUACUCAAGCGCCCAAACACCCCUCAGCUGGAACAUUACACUUGACUUCAGCGAUGAGGAGUCUAGCCAGGACUUUUCAGUAGUUUUUGUGACUUUUUUCAGCAUGUUGAUCAUCGCCAUCGGCUUCAUCUGGAUAUUGUUCUGGGUGUUAAAAUAUAGGCAGAGAGUGAGAGUGUGACAUGCUGCCAUGGACCCUCAACAUGAGAGCCAUUAUGGAGCCGUUAUGGAGUCAUUCUGUUACUGUAAUAUAUAUAUAUAUAUUUUAAAUAUAUCUAUAUACUUUUGUUAUAAUCCUUUAGAUUAUUCAUUAUUGAAGGCAUGUAUUGAAUACAUAACUCACAUGUAGUAUAAUGUAUCAUUAAUUUAAAAUAUGGGUGUCACAUUUUGAGUUUAUAGGUUCAUGUUUAGAGUUUGUUUUUGAUCACUUUUUCUGUGCUAUUCAUGUCUGAGAUUUUUUUGUUAAUCUUCUAGGUUGUUAAUUAGUUCUGUCACUGUCCCCUGCUUGUUUGUCGCCAUGGUUUCUGAUUGAUUUGAGUAUUCUGUUCAGGUGUGUCUUGUUAAUUUGCUCCCUUGUUUUCCAUGUACGUAUAUAAGCCCAAAGUUUCAGUUUGCUCCGGGUCAGUAUUUGUCUUGUUUAAGCUGUGUAGUUGUGUUAUUUUCCCUAGUCUUCUGUUUUUGGAUUGAAAUAAAAUUUCUGUGUAUCCGAAUCCUGCUUCUAGCAAGUGUUUCUACGAUACAGCAUGACAAUGGGUCUACUUCUCUGUUUUUAUGUAAUUAAUAUCACUAAACAAAUAUAUAUGCAAAUAAUUCUCAUCAACCAAAUGUAUAAAACCAAACUUUUUUAAUAAAAUAAAAGCUAAAGGUGUCAUAUGACUCAGUGCUCUAUAUAGGUACAUUCACGGCAUGUCAUAAGUACCGUAAUUACAAGAUUCCAACUCAAGAUUUAGUCCUCGCAGAGCUCGUAAUUACAACUUGUAAACUGGGAAUUUUCUGAGAGCUCUGACUUGCACCACGUGAUCGCUGUACAACCUGACCACUCUCAUUUGCUCUUUGCCAAGCAAAUACACAGCAAUAAAUGUUGGAAAGAUAUCAUUCAAGAUAAAAAAUUAACAUUAUAUUCGCAGAAAUAGAUUGAGUCUACAAACACAGUCAUUUUAGAAUUGUGUAUAAUAAACAGAUAAUGGUAAUGAUAACCUACACUUAAAUAAGCACAAUUUAUAUCAAAGUAAAUCUCUAAGUGUCUGGUCAAAGAAAGGUUUUUCAUUUUAUCUUUUAUGAUGAUCUAGAUGGGGGGUGGGCGCAUGGACAGGAAGUUCACCACUCAGAUUCUGUACGAGUGCAGAAGUGUCACGCUAAGCACAGCUCAAAAAUGUGUUCUAUUCAUAUGUUUUUAAAAUGGGUUACAAACUGUUUUUUAUUUUUUAUUUUAAUUUUUCUCCGACAUACAGGUAAGAGACUAUAGCUCUGUUUACUUUGCCCUUUUAUGUAAAUCAAAGAAGUUUCAUUUAAUGUCUCAGUUGUGUAACAAGUGUUAACUGACUAAUAACAGAAUGUGAUUUAUUUACUGUACAUUUGAAGACAUUACGUCUCAAUUUGUGUCAAUCCACAGAUGCGGAGACUAUCAGAGCAGCUGAAGGAGCGACUGUCCAUCUGCCCUGCCACUCUCCACCUGAUGACAGUGAACUGUUUUCUGUAGAGUGGACAAAAAAUUGUGCAACUAGCAAAAGUAUUUGUAAAUGGAAUAUUAAUAAAAUUACUGAAUCUUCUGCUGGAGGAUGCAUUCCUCAUUUUACAUUCAACAGAAAGUCGCUAAGUAUAAAAAAUGUUCAGUUUAGUGACUCUGGUAAUUACAGCUGUAAAACAACAAGAUUAAUUCCACCACCAACAUUGGACGUCAUCUCAAAUGUGAUACUCCAAGUUACAGCACAUCCAGGUCUGUCCCUGCAGCUCCUGAACAGCAGUAAUGACACCUGUAUUCAUCUGCUCUGCUCUCUGGAGAGUCUGAACCCUGAGCUGGUGGACUUCACCUGGAGCCGAGAAGGUCAAAGGU